AAAAAAUCAAAAGACUUUCUCUAUACCCUAGCUUCCACCUCUUCAUCUCCAUUAAUGUCAGUGCUUUCAUAGAUGGUUCUGAGAGCUGCUCUCUGUUAUUCCACCAUUCCAUCUCGGAUAACUACUCAAUUCUUAAUUUUCUUUCAUCCCUUUUUUUAGCUUGAUGGAUUUAGCUUCUCUUGAAGAUGAUACCACCACCUGAGCUACUACAAAAGGAACCUAAAAAAUUAAGAGCUUGCAAACUCAAUUCUGUGCUGCAAAAAUAGUACCGCUUCACCAAAAAGAGUGUAGAAAUUUGUGUUCUUGUUAUUUGAAUACUUAACCCACUACAUCCCAAUCACUCAUUGAAUGAAGGGUUUUAUAUUCAAUGGAAAUCACUCCCAAAAAUGUUUACGUACAUUUCUAAUUGCAAAAUCCUCUGAUGAAUCUUUUCCCUACCUUUACUGCCUAUUUUUGUCUUCUUUUAGGUCUAGUUAUAGCCUGCCGGAGUUGACCAGAUCAUAUCAUCCAUUUAACUAGGUAAUUAGAUCCCUUCUAAAUUAUUCAGCUACUAGUACUUGUUAUUUACACCUGCUCUAUAUGCUACACCUGCUCCCUUAUUCUUCCUUGCUUGAUGGUUGUUAUUUUGAUUCUUGAUGAAUUCUCUUAAUGUUGGGUGUAUCAGAUUUAUCUACUCUGAAAAUAUUCUUUCCUUUAUUUAGGGAUUGUUCAUUAUCAUUGAACUCAAAAUCAGUUGCAGAAAGAAACACUAGGUUAGCAAAAUAAUCAGCUAAAGUGCUUCCUUCCCUAAGGAAAUAAACCACUCUAAUUGUUAAAUUAUUCAUCAGAACCCAAAUUGAGUUGACCAUAUUGUCACACUCCACGGGAUAUCCCAUUCCAUCUUUAUUAUUUGAACCAUGCUCCAAGAAUUAGUCUCUGAUAUAAUCUAAUUUGUAUUAUUAUUUCUGUAAUAUUGUAGACAAUCUCUUAUAGCCAAAGCUUCAACCACUAAAGAGUUUGUAUUCUUGACUCUAUAUCCCUUUGCCACAAACAAAUCACCUAACUCAUUUCUAAUACAUUAAGCAAUGGAACUAAGACCUGAAUUUCUGUUUGAAGCACCAUCAGUAUUGCCUUUAACACAACCAGAUUCAGGUGGAAUCCACCUAAUCACAUUAAAUGAGUAAGAGACUCUAUACUUCUACAAAGAUUCAAUAAUAUUAGUCCAUUCUCUUUGUUGUAACUUCAUGUGAAGUUUGAUCUUGAUGAACUUGAUAAUAUUCUCAUUUAUCUCAUAGAUUAUCUUUCUUUCAUGAUAGGAUCCCCCAUGUAUUAAAGCAUUCCUUCUUUUCCAUAAAAACCAGAAUAUAAUCACUAGAACCACUUUAAAAAGUCUUUAAUCUGAUGUUUUCAUACAUAUUCUUCCACAGCCUAAAACUCUACUUCAAAUUUAGUGCUUGCUUUAUAAUUCCAGUUGCACUACAAUAAUAAUUUCAGACUUUAUCAACUAUUUCCCUUUAAGAAAAAGAUGUUGAAUGGUUUCUCUUACUGAAAUUCUACAAAAUCCACAUCUAUCAUCUAUAUCUGAAUUUCAUUUAUGCAUAAUUGUAGAAAUAGGGAUAAAAGAGUGUCAUAUUCUCUAUGCCUAAAAUAAAAAUUUAAAAGGUAAUCCUUUAAUCCAGAUAGCCUUCAAAUUCUUCUCUGCUUUAGACCUUAAUAGAUCCUAUGCACUUUAAGUUAUGAAAAUACCCUUGCUGUUUUUUGUACACCAAGGUUUAUCUAUCACAUCCUCAUGAUAUAGACACUCAUGUUAUCUCUAACCUGGUUUACUAUAUUGUGAGGAACCUCUUGCUUUAUGAGCUCAUAAUUUCAUCCAUUAUCUUUCAUGAAAAUAAUAAUAUUUUUUAAUCAAUAACAUAUUGAGAUGCCAAAAUAUUUUUUAAAAAGAGGAUCAGUAUUGAUCCAAUUAUCAAAGUAGAUUAUAGAAGAUCCACUUUUAGGCUCCCACCACAAAUGUUAUUCAACUUCAGCCCUAACAUUUAACAUAACCUUCCAUACUUGAGAUCCUCCUUUCCGAUUUACAAGGUAGGCAAUUACUUCUUACAGUAUUUAUUCUAAAUAAAAUCAGACCACAGAACUUUGAGUCCUAAACCUCCACCAUAAUUUAGCAUUGAGAGCUAGAUACACAUCUUUAAAUGCCCUGAAACCUAAACCCCUUUCUUGUUUGUAUAAACAAACUUUAUCCCAAGUCAUCCAAUACUUACCUUUUCAAACCUCACUAUUUUUCUUAAAAAAACCGUAUCAAUGAUCCUUUAAAGAUCUUUGAUAACAAUUUUCAAAGGAACUAGAGCUGACAAGAUAUAAAUUGAAAUACUUUGCAAAACACUCUUAAUAAAAACUCCUUUACCUCCAUAUGAUAAAAGCCUUCACUUCCAAGCUUAUAGUUUAUUCUAAUUUUUUCAAUUAACUCCACAAUAUAUUCUUUCUUCUUAUUUGUAUGUAAUAAAGGUCAUUCAGAUAUUUUAGUGGAAAGUUACCUUUCUUCAUCCCUAUAAUCUGCUCCACCACCUGAACCUCCACCAUAGGAGAUUUUACUAUGCAUAUAGAAGAAGCUCUUAUCCCUAUUCACUGUUUGGUCAGAUUCAACUUCAUAUUCCUACAAUAUUUUCAUAAUACUCUUCAGAGAAUAGCUGUGUGAUGAUGAAACAAUAAUUAUGUCAUCAACAUAUGCUAAAUGAUUAAAAUUAGAACUUUACUUAGGUAUUCCAUAGAUAACAAAUCUAUCAUCAUUAAAUAACUGAUCCAGAGCUCUUGUCAUUAGUUCUGUUGUCAGUAUAAAAAGAGAUGGAGAUAAAGGAUCUCCUUGCUUCACCCUCCUACUAGAAUGAAAUAAUCCAACUUGUUGACCAUUUAAUAAAAUAAAAUAAUUAUUAGUAGAGAUCAAUCUCUAUAUCAUAUCUAUCACCACAUAAGAAAAAUCCAUUUUCCUGAUAACUUUCAUCAAGAAAAACUAGGAAACCCUGUCAUAUGCUUUAGUCAUAUCCAAUUUCAUCACAACAUUAGAAGGGUGCCUUCUUUUUUCAAUAUCUACAGUUAAUUCCUGAGUUAACAAAAUAUUCUCAAUGCUACUUCUUCCUUUAAUAAAACCUAACUGAUCAGGAGAAAUGAAUCUAGAAAGAAUUCUCUUCAAUCUAUGAUGCACAAUUCUGGACAGAAUUUUAUUCACAAAAUUACUCAAGCUAAUAGGUCUCAAAUCUGAAAAAGAUUGUACAUUAUCUUUUUUAAGAAUGAGUACCAAAUUAGAGUGAGUAAUAGAUUUAGAAAGUGAAUUUCUUGCAAAGAAACUUACAACUAGCCUAUAUCUCCACCAACUAUGUCCCAAUAGGUCUAAUAAAAUAUUUCAAUUAAAUCAUCUGGUCCACUAGCACUGUCUCCACUUAAAUUGAACACUCCAUGCUUUACUUCUUCCAUAAUAUGGGGAGCUUCUAAUAAAUUACUGUCCUCAUUGGCAAGUAACUCAGGAACACAAUUAAUUAAAUAAAAAUCUUUUGCAUCUCUUUCUUGAGUAAACUACUUUUGAUAUAAUUUAAUAACCUCUUCUGCAAUUUUAUCUUUAUUUUCCAGCCAGUUACCCUGAUCAUCUAAUAUCCUGGAUAUCUUAAACCUGUUUCUCCUUCCUUUAACAAUACUGUGAAAGAAAUUUGUAUUCCUGUCCCCACCUUCAAAUCAAUUAUAUCCUUCCUUCUGUUGCUAGUAGCACUCCUCAAUAUGUAGAUACCUGAUAUAUUCAGCUUUUGCCUUUUGCAUAACAACACUAUUCUCUCUUAUUGGAUUUUCUUUAAAAAAAUUCUUUCAUUCUAAAAAUCUCCUCUCUAAUCUAGAAUUGCUUGAAUAUACCUCCAUACACCUUUCUACUCCAUCCGGUUAGGGCCUAUUUCACCUAUUUAAUUUUUCUUUUGAAGUCCAAAAAAGUAUUUUUAGUGACAUUAGAAUCCCAACUUUUUCUAACAACUUCUACAAAAUCUGCAUGUUGAGUCCAAAAUUUUAGAAAUUUAAAUGAUCUUUGAAUCAUUGUAUCUUUAUUUUCACAUUUGAGAAGCAAAUGGGCAUGAUCAGAAUCAUCCCCUGCUAGAUGUUCUAUCUCAACAUGUGAAAAUAUAUUCUAGAACUUUGUAUUCAUUAAAACUCUAUCCAAUCUCUCAAAGACACAGUCAACACCAUCUCUCCCAUUCCACCCUAUAAAUGGACUACCCUUGUAUUGCACUUGGUGAAUCUCACAAGAUUCUAUGCAUUGCUGGAAGUCUUCCACAUCAGUAUAUGUAACAGGAUUUCCACCAAUCUUCUUAGCUUCAUUAAGAACAACAUUAAAUUCACCCCAAUCACCUAUGGUCCAGAAUAAUUAUUAGAUAUGUAAUAAAGGUCAUCCCAAAGUUGUAAACUUUGAUUCUUAUCAUACUUAGCAUAAACAAUAGUUACUGCAUAGCACAAACCACUGGAUAUAUCCCUUAAUUGACAUGUUAAUUAUUGUUCUAUGUCACUGAUAACACCGGCAGUGAAACCAUGGUUAACAAAUAACCAUAGCUUUUCUGAAAAGUUAUGAAAAACUAGAGAUAUCUAAACCCUAUUUUGGUAUUUAUUAAUAGUUCUUCUUUGCUGGUAAGGUUCCAAGAAAGCAAUAAAAACACAUUUGUGAAAUUUAUGUAAUACCUGAACCCUCUGGAAAGCCCUCUGAGACUUUAUAGCUCUGAUAUUUCAAAUUAUUUUUUUGACUUAUUUGCAACUCGACUUCUCUUUAGUUGAGAUCUGGUAGGUAAAACAACCUCCUCUUUACUCUGAUUUUCCCUUUUUAUACCACAUUUAAUAUCCUUGAUGACCCUUGGAGACAAAUUAUGUUGUCUAAAAAUAUCAUGUUCUUUACUUUCCCUAUCAAGAUUAUCUUCUAAUAACUCUAUUUCAUUCACCAUGUCUAUAUUAUGAGUGAAUAUAUUAUGAACAGUAACAUGAGGUUGUUCAACACUCCAACCUAAUGAUUAAUCAAUAUCUAAUGAGGUAUCAAUUGUAACUAGUAAAUUCUCCAUACUUAGCUUCAUCAACUGAUCCUUCUUAUCUUGUUGAUUCUUACUAUCAUUUGAUGAUGUCAGUGUUCUAUUUAAAGUUGAAUUCAUCUUGUUAGUGCUACUAUGAACUAUUGUUGUUACUUGAUGCACAUGUGUUGGAUGAUCUGCUUAAAACUUUGAUUUCCUUAUAUCUUAUGGGCUAUGUGACUGCUAAGAUCUACCAAUAGAUUAAUAUUGACCCUUUCCUUCUCUUACUUCUUUAUUGUAAGAAUUUGCAUUCAACUCUACUGCUGCAAGUAUUUUUUCACUGCUUUUGCUUUAUUUUGAUGUGAUAGUAUCAAUCUUCAUAAUAUUCAAUGACACUUGGUUCUUAUUUUCUUCUCUAUUUUAUCAUUGACAGGGAUUUUCCGUAAAGGGUCUAUUAUAACAGAAGGUUCACCAUGAAAACACUUGGAUGCCUAGUCUUUUGUAGAUAGCUACAUAAUUUUUCCUUGUCUUUCUUAUUGACUUCUGUUAGCUAUAAUAAAGGCAUUGCCACUUUGUUAUGCAGAAACUUCCUUCUCCUCAAGUAAUGAAUUAAAUGAGUUCUUAUCAUGUACUUUUUCUCAGGGGUAAUAGCUCUUUCACUUAGAAAACCUUUAUUGAUAAAUCUACGUAUGGUAGGGUUUCAUUUAGCAUUUUAUAUCCUCCAUAUCUCUUCAGUAAUUUCUAGCUUAGAGCUUUCAACUUCUGACUUCUGAAUAUUGUCAUCCUUGUUAUCUUCUUAACCUCUUAGUGGCCUCAACUCAGGAUGUAAUACUCUACAUUCCAAAUCAUUAUGCCCUUGAAGUUUACAUUCUUUACAAUACUUAGGCAAGAAAUCAUAUUUGAUCUUAACCUUUUCUAUUCUUGAUGCCUUAGUGGUAGAAUUAACUAUUUUCAUCUCCACAUUAUCCGAAAAAUCAUAUAAUAGAUCCACUUGUACCUUGACCCUAAAAUAGCUAGGUCUAGUUUUGUUCACUAUCGCUAAAUCCAAAUGGAUUGGUUUACCACUAUUGACUCCAAUAAGAAUAGAAACACCUUUUAAAAAAUGACUAUCUUUAAAUCUAGAAAAA
rnacentral:lncRNA from 1 species